CGGGAGCUGUACAGGUGCUGCAUGGCUGUCGUCAGCUCGUGUCGUGAGAUGUUCGGUUAAGUCCGCUAGCGAGCGCAACCCUCGCUGUGUGUUACAAGUGUCACACGGAACUGCCGGUCAUAAACCGGAGGAAGGUGGGGAUGGCGUCAAGUCAGCAUGGCCUUUAUAUCCUGGGCUACACACACGCUACGAUGGGAAGGGACAAUAGGUUGCGAAGCCGCGAGGCGGAGCCAAUCCAGCAAAACUUCCCUCAGUUCAGAUUGCAGGCUGCAACUCGCCUGCAUGAAGUUGGAGUUGCUAGUAAACGCAGGUCAGCCAUACUGCGUUGAAUACGUUCCCGGGGCUU
rnacentral:rRNA from 1 species